rnacentral:rRNA from 1 species
GGGGAAUCUUGCGCAAUGGGCGAAAGCCUGACGCAGCGACGCCGCGUGAGUGAUGAAGGCCUUCGGGUUGUAAAGCUCUGUGGGAGGAGACGAAUAAGUCGUGGCGAACAGCCCCGAUGAUGACGGUAUCCUUUUAGCAAGCACCGGCUAACUCUGUGCCAGCAGCCGCGGUAAGACAGAGGGUGCAAACGUUGUUCGGAAUUACUGGGCGUAAAGCGCGUGUAGGCGGUCUUGCAGGUCGGAUGUGAAAUCCCUCGGCUCAACCAAGGAAGUGCAUUCGAAACCGCAAGACUUGAGUGUCGGAGAGGAAGGCGGAAUUGUCGGUGUAGAGGUGAAAUUCGUAGAUAUCGACAGGAACACCUGUGGCGAAAGCGGCCUUCUGGACGAACACUGACGCUGAGACGCGAAAGCGUGGGGAGCAAAC